UGGGGAAUAUUGCACAAUGGGCGCAAGCCUGAUGCAGCCAUGCCGCGUGUGUGAAGAAGGCCUUCGGGUUGUAAAGCACUUUCAGCGGGGAGGAAGGCGUUAAGGUUAAUAACCUUGGCGAUUGACGUUACCCGCAGAAGAAGCACCGGCUAACUCCGUGCCAGCAGCCGCGGUAAUACGGAGGGUGCAAGCGUUAAUCGGAAUUACUGGGCGUAAAGCGCACGCAGGCGGUCUGUCAAGUCGGAUGUGAAAUCCCCGGGCUCAACCUGGGAACUGCAUUCGAAACUGGCAGGCUAGAGUCUUGAAGAGGGGGGUAGAAUUCCAGGUGUAGCGGUGAAAUGCGUAGAGAUCUGGAGGAAUACCGGUGGCGAAGGCGGCCCCCUGGACAAAGACUGACGCUCAGGUGCGAAAGCGUGGGGAGCAAACAGG
rnacentral:rRNA from 1 species